GAUGAACGCUGGCGGCGUGCCUAAUACAUGCAAGUCGAGCGAACAGACGAGGAGCUUGCUCCUCUGACGUUAGCGGCGGACGGGUGAGUAACACGUGGAUAACCUACCUCUAAGACUGGGAUAACUUCGGGAAACCGGAGCUAAUACCGGAUAAUAUAUUGAACCGCAUGGUUCAAUAGUGAAAGACGGUUUUGCUGUCACUUAUAGAUGGAUCCGCGCCGCAUUAGCUAGUUGGUAAGGUAACGGCUUACCAAGGCGACGAUGCGUAGCCGACCUGAGAGGGUGAUCGGCCACACUGGAACUGAGACACGGUCCAGACUCCUACGGGAGGCAGCAGUAGGGAAUCUUCCGCAAUGGGCGAAAGCCUGACGGAGCAACGCCGCGUGAGUGAUGAAGGUCUUCGGAUCGUAAAACUCUGUUAUUAGGGAAGAAAAAAUGUGUAAGUAACUAUGCACGUCUUGACGGUACCUAAUCAGAAAGCCACGGCUAACUACGUG
rnacentral:rRNA from 1 species